UAAUGUAGGAAAAAAGAGAAGAAAUAUUUAUACCACACUUUUUCUAACAAAAACAAUUGACUUCUAACAUUUAGGUUUAUUCAUAUUCUUGAUCUACAAUUUUUCCUUUUACUUUUUAUCUUUUUUUUUUAAAAUUUAAGUUGUGAGGGCUGGUAGGGGAAAAUUAUUAGAAUUAGCAUCUUGUUUAUUUAUUUUUUAAAAUUUUUUUGGGAGCUAAUGAGUUAAUUAAUUUGGAUGCAGGAAACAAGUAAUGAUGCUAUUCUAUUCCCUCUGUGGUAGCUUUACUAAUGCACUUUUUCAAUGGUUCUUUGCUGCUGCUGAUGGCUGUGGAUUUAGUAACUUUCCCACCUUUGGUCUCAAAGCCUUUAGCCAAAGGUACUGAUGAAUUUAACAAAUGACAACCUGUGUGCUGUCAGCAAAUUGCUGCUUGUGGAGGACUGGUGAAACCUUGUCUUCAUUGAUUGCUGGCCACUUUCCAUCAUUCAGUUCAUCUUUGCCUCCCUUCAGCGAUAUAAGAAAUGAUACUUGUUGUCCAAGUCUUAAGACAUUUGAAAGGGUGUGAUCGGUUAAAAAUUCUUGGAGAGAUACAAAAUAUGGUCAAAGAAUUCAAGAACUUAGUUUUUUAAGUUUUUUUCAUUUUUUAAUAUAUGUAAGUAUGGUUUAAAACUUUUUAUUUAAUUCCUUUGUAUAUACUUUUGAACAUAUUUAAU